rnacentral:rRNA from 1 species
AUACGUAGGGUCCAAGCGUUAAUCGGAAUUACUGGGCGUAAAGCGUGCGCAGGCGGUUGUGCAAGACCGAUGUGAAAUCCCCGAGCUUAACUUGGGAAUUGCAUUGGUGACUGCACGGCUAGAGUGUGUCAGAGGGGGGUAGAAUUCCACGUGUAGCAGUGAAAUGCGUAGAGAUGUGGAGGAAUACCGAUGGCGAAGGCAGCCCCCUGGGAUAACACUGACGCGCAUGCACGAAAGCGUGGGGAGC